rnacentral:rRNA from 1 species
UACGUAGGGUGCGAGCGUUGUCCGGAAUUAUUGGGCGUAAAGAGCUCGUAGGCGGUGUGUCACGUCGGCCGUGAAAACCUGGGGCUUAACUCUGGGCGUGCGGUCGAUACGGGCAUCACUAGAGUUCGGCAGGGGAGACUGGAAUUCCUGGUGUAGCGGUGAAAUGCGCAGAUAUCAGGAGGAACACCGGUGGCGAAGGCGACUACCUGGCCUGUUCUUGACGCUGAGGCGCGAAAGCUAGGGGAGCAAACGGG